CUUUUUCUUUAUUUUGUCACAACUACUCCUGUAAAACGACGUGGUUUCAUAGUAUUAAUCCCGUUGAAUCUUUUUUACUUUCUCCUUUUCGUUUCAGCUGCUUCGACCGCACUCCGUGAAGCCCGUGGGGGCCCCAGAGCUUUUUCGUUUUUUUUUUACCAUGACCUCAUACCCUCUCUCUCUCUCUCUCUCUCUCACCCUCUCAGCCGAAACCGCUAAUUCUCCUGCACUACUGUCACGCGACCGCCAACCAGGAGAGGCGACGAAGAAGGGCCAACCACUUCAGGCGGCCAGCCAGCGCCGCCAGCGCCUUGCCGACAGAAAAAAAGCUGUGGUGCACCUCCGUUAGAGGGGUUUCCUAUCCCAGACGCCGUUGUUCUCGCCUUCCCCGUGAGAAUUGGAUUGACUUUGCACUCUGGCAAGUGUUUGCGGCAUCCUCUGUUCAAUUUUCUCUCAACCUCUUUCAACUCUCGAUUUCCCUUUCAAUGACCAGAAUUUAACAAAAGAAGUAUUUGUUCAAACUCUUCGCCGCCGAAGCAGUGGCCUUCUCCGUAUAAAGCUCAAAGUACGAGGGUUUAAAUGUGCACAAACAUGGAUAACGACAAUCACCAAUGGGUUAACUCCUCCGUCAAAACGAAUUGGAUCAUUAGACAUGAGAUUACACGGGUUGAAUUUGAAGAAAUUGGAUGAGAUGUUGUGGCAGUGGCAUUUGCGAUGUUUCCUUUUGUCGGGUUUUUGCUCGCCAUGGUUCUGUUUUACCCCGGAGUUUCCAUCUUAAAGAAGGUACUAUUUUAAUUUUUUAUAUGACAACAUAAGAAGCAUGGAGGUCAAUAUUCCAGUUUAACAUAAAACUCCAAGUUAUGAUAAUAUCAUUAUUCGAUAUGAUCUUUGUUAACGUUUUAAAGAUGCUCAUAACAUGCUACCAUUUGAAUUCCUUACAGUUUCUUACGGAAAAUAAUUUAAUAUGUAGUCAUUUCACGAGGUAUUGAGGAUCUAAUUUGAAGUGUACGGUGUUAUGAAUUUAUCCGUCGACAAUUCUCACCUCAUUUUCUAGACAUACAUGUACAUAAAUGUAUUUAGUUGACCGUAUCUUUACCAUGGGUUAUAUUUAUACCAUUUAAGCAUAUGAUCGAUGAUUCCAGUGCGUGCUAAUCGUGUUCUGAAUUAAGAUGUAUUUGAUUGCUGAAACUGUGUUUGUAUACUAAUUUAUUGGUAAUAUAUAGCUGUAUAUGCUCUUUUAAUUUAGUUUGUUUGGCAUGUGAGAGAUUUCGAUGAAUGAUUCAAGAAAAUUGAAGAGAUAGCAGUAUAUCACUAGGUUUUGAAUUAUUGAAGAAAAUUGAAGAGAUUUAUUUGCCUCAAAUCUGUUUUUCAGAGAUGAAUAUUGCGUUUGUGUUAUAUUGUUUUGAUUGAAACUGUACGGAUAUAUCACGAGUUUAACUACACUGAUUCUACUUUAGAGAUGUAAUCAGCAAUUUUUUCCGAAUCCUUUUACCAUAUGUUACAAAAAAAAAAAAUUAUUUCCCGUGCAUCGCACGGAUAUCGAUUACUAGUAAUAAUAAUAAUUUCUAUACAACUAUAGUGUUCUUCGAUGUUCUUGGUAACAUGUAUAUAUAGAGAAAUUUAUGGGGUUGAGAUGGAGAAAAGUGGGAAAGUUAAGAAAAGAAGUUGAAGAUGACGUUGAGUGGAAAAACGAAAAAAAAAAAAAA